rnacentral:rRNA from 1 species
UACGAAGGGGGCUAGCGUUGCUCGGAAUUACUGGGCGUAAAGGGCGCGUAGGCGGACAUUUAAGUUAGAGGUGAAAGCCCAGGGCUCAACCCUGGAAUAGCCUUUAAUACUGGAUGUCUUGAGUCUGGGAGAGGUGAGUGGAAUGCCGAGUGUAGAGGUGAAAUUCGUAGAUAUUCGGCGGAACACCAGUGGCGAAGGCGACUCACUGGCCCGAUACUGACGCUGAGGCGCGAAAGCGUGGGGAGCAAACAGG